AUGCUUCAAAAUUUUCUGCAAUCACAAGAACAGUACAAUCCGUUACACGAUCAAAUCUCCCAAGAAACACGGCAGGUUCAGCAACUGCAUUGUCCCUGCUGCCUCGAGGAGCUGAGACUCAUCUCCUGUCCCCUGGUGCCCAGUCCAGCUGGAUGUAAGCAACGGUGUCCAUCCCAGCUGGGAAGGAAGAGUUUUCUGCUGGACUACAUCAGAGCAAAGCGUGCCAUCACGUUUAAAUCACGGGGAUAUGUCUGUGGAUUAUCAAACCCUAAGGGUGCUUUUCAUUUCAGUAACUCAGCUUUUGUCAUGUUGAGGAUUCACGGGUGGCACUGGAUAUGCUGCUGCUGCUUGCUUCAACCUCAGCUGUGUCCUCAUCUUGGCUUAUACUAUUUAAAAAAAAUAAAUGGAAGAACGCUUUGGGAGUUGCAGUUGGAGGCAGGAGGGUACCUGCGUCCUCCCUUUUUAUUAGUUUAUUAGUCUUCUACGUUCCUCCUGGUUGCGGGAGCCCUGAGUCCCAACAAAAACUUGAACAGACUUUUACUGCCAUUUCUGGGACUGCUGCUGCUGAUAAAGUGUUCUGGAUAAUUGUACAUGUAAUUGUGCGAUUUUAAAUAGAUGUUCUGGUUUUGGAAUUUGUUUCGGGAUUUGCCAGCCAGGAUGGUAACGCUGCUGUGACAGGGACAGGUGGGGACAGGGGAAUAUUGCUUUUAAGCAGAUUUGUGUCAAAUCUGCAGCAGAACCACAAAAUUAUUUUUGUAAGACUUUUCUUGUAUAACUAUAAAAUUUUGGUUUAUUGAUAAAGAUUAUAUGCUCUUUAUUUUUCCUAAUUCUGUGGUUUGUACACAAAAUAACCUGAGUGAUCCUUUCUUUAUGUGUAAAUAGUAAAAUGGUCUGUUUUUAAUUCAGGUUUAAAAUGAUAUCAUCUUAUAUUUUUAACUUUGUAUUUUGUAAAUCGUUACUUACAGAAGCAGAAGCAUUAAAGGGCGCUUUGGCUACAGCCUGGCAUGGUCUGGGCUCGUUAUUGCGUUAACGAGGGCGCUGCCUUCUGCCCACGCGGAGCCGUGAAGGUGAAUAAAGGCAGUUUGGGGUUUGGUUGGUGGUGUUCC
rnacentral:lncRNA from 1 species